UGCUGAUCCAAACAUGGUGAGUGACUGUGAUCGUUCACAGUCGAUUACAUACCUACUUACAGACCUGCCCUUUCCCCACUUCCCACUGCUCCAUUUGAUUAGUCUUAA
rnacentral:Y_RNA from 1 species